AGUCGAGGGGUAGAGGAAGCUUGCUUCCUUGAGACCGGCGCACGGGUGCGUAACGCGUAUGCAAUCUACCUUUUACNGAGGGAUAGCCCAGAGAAAUUUGGAUUAAUACCUCANAGUAUAUAUUAUUCGCAUGUUUGAUAUAUUAAAGUUCCAACGGUAAAAGAUGAGCAUGCGUCCCAUUANUUAGUUGGUAAGGUAACGGCUUACCAAGACGGUGAUGGGUAGGGGUCCUGANANGGANAUCCCCCACCCUGGUACUGAGACACGGACCACACUCCUACGNUAGGCAGCAGUGAGGAAUAUUGGUCAAUGGANGCA
rnacentral:rRNA from 1 species